GACGAACGCUGGCGGCGUGCUUAACACAUGCAAGUCGAACGGAAAGGCCCUGCUUUUGUGGGGUGCUCGAGUGGCGAACGGGUGAGUAACACGUGAGUAACCUGCCCUUUACUUUGGGAUAACUUCAGGAAACUGGGGCUAAUACCGGAUAGGAGCUCCUGCUGCAUGGUGGGGGUUGGAAAGUUUCGGCGGUUGGGGAUGGACUCGCGGCUUAUCAGCUUGUUGGUGGGGUAGUGGCUUACCAAGGCUUUGACGGGUAGCCGGCCUGAGAGGGUGACCGGCCAGAUUGGGACUGAGAUACGGCCCAGACUGCUACGGGAGGCAGCAGUGGGGAAUAUUGCACAAUGGGCGGAAGCCUGAUGCAGCAACGCCGCGUGCGGGAUGACGGCCUUCGGGUUGUAAACCGCUUUCGCCUGUGACGAAGCGUGAGUGACGGUAAUGGGUAAAGAAGCACCGGCUAACUACGUG
rnacentral:rRNA from 1 species